CUCUCAUGUAAACAACAGAAAAAGCGAGCAUUUCCUGAGGUCCAUCUGUAAGCGAGAAGGAAACAACUUCCGGUUGGUUUUUUUGUGACCAGACAGAAUCAGAGAUGGUGAGCCCAGCCUGUGACCCUGUGACCGGUUGGAGAAACGGUGUUGGCCAGACUGUAGGAACUGCCCACAGAGGACAUCUGAUUUAAAGUGAUACCCAUUUUCAUUGGGUUACAGAUAAGACACACACUAAUUAUCCUACCCGGGUAGUAGUGAUAGUAGUGACAUUAGAUAUUUGGAACAGAUACAACACAAAACAACUUUGAACUGAAGUCUUGAGCUCUUUAAUCAUAAGGAGUCCCUAUGGAUUAAUGGGACAUUCAGUGAUCUAAAGAACAUUUCAUUGGAGGUUUUCCACCUCCAUAACAGACUAUUUCUGUUUAUUUUCUUAUUUGAUUUAUUUAUUUUAUUUUUUAUUUUCCAUUCUUUAAAACUGAAAGUCUUGUGUAUUAUUGUUUAUGAGUUGAGGCAAUAAAUUGUCACUGUUCAACCGUA